rnacentral:rRNA from 1 species
AGAGUUUGAUCCUGGCUCAGGGUUAACGCUGGCGGCGUGCCUUACACAUGCAAGUCGAACGGGGCUAUCAGCGAUGGUAGCCUAGUGGCGAACGGGUGAGGAAGACGCAGGGACCUACCGACCAGAGGGGGAUACCCGCUGGAAACGGCGGAUAAAACCGCAUACGCCCGGGUGAAAGCCCGGGGAAAAGCACUACGGUGUUACUGGACGAGGGACCUGCGGCCCAUCAGGUAGUUGGGGAGGUAACGGCUCACCAAACCGACGACGGGUAUCUGGCGUGAGAGCGCGAACAGGCACAAGGACACUGAGAGACGGGUCCUACUCCUACGGGAGGCAGCAGUGGGGAAUAUUGGACAAUGGGCGAAAGCCUGAUCCAGCGACGCCGCGUGUCGGAAGGAGUCCUUCGGGAUGUAAACGACUUUUGGUGGAGACGAAUAAGCAGCUCAGGGAAUGGGGCUGUGAUGACGGUAUCCAUGGAAUAAGCCCCGGCUAACUACGUGCCAGCAGCCGCGGUAAGACGUAGGGGGCAAGCGUUACCCGGAAUUACUGGGCGUAAAGGGAGCGUAGGCGGGAGGUCAAGUCCGGUGUGAAAGACCCUGGCUCAACCAGGGAUGAGGGCUGGAAACUGACAAUCUUGAGUACAGCAGAGGAAGAGGGAAUUACCGGUGUAGGGGUGAAAUCCGUAGAGACCGGUAAGAAGGCCAGUGGCGAAGGCGCUUUUCUGGGCUGUUACUGACGCUGAGGCUCGAAAGCCAGGGGAGCAAACCGGAUUAGAUACCCGGGUAGUCCUGGGCCGUAACGAUGCUCACUAGGUGUGGGGCGCAUAGCGUGCUCUGCGCUGAAGCAAACGCAAUAAGUGAGCCGCCUGGGGAGUACGUCCGCAAGGAUGAAACUCAAAGGAAUUGACGG